UAAAAAGGUACUCAAGGGCACAGUAGUGGAUGCCUAGACGUAUAUUACCGAUGAAGGACGUGGAAGACUGCGAUAAGCUUCGGGUAGCUGUCAACAAGCUAUUAUCCGGAGAUCUCCGAAUAGGGAAACCUAGUGCGAUUAAUAACGCAUUGUCCAUACCUGAAUACAUAGGGUAUGUGAACGGGAACCAACUGAACUGAAACAUCUUAGUAGGUUGAGGAAAAGAAAGUAAAUAACGAUUGCGGGAGUAGUGGCGAGCGAAACCGUACGAGCCCAAACCUUACAAGUUAUUGUCUGUUUACAGACAAUAACGGUUGAUAGACUAUUGCUUGCAAGGGGUUGUGAUAUGACACAAGACCAAGUCAGAGGAUUUAACAAUUUUGUUGAAUAAUCUGACUUGUGAUUACAGACUAUCAUCUGUAAAUAAGGUAAGAAAACAGCGUGGUUAGCAGAAUGAGGUUGAAUACUCAGCCAAAGGACGUGAAAGCCGUGUACGCGAAAACGACGCUGACCUUAUAUGUGUGGUAUCGAGUAGGGCGGGGCACGAGAAACCCUGUCUGAAUCUGGGAGGACCACCUCCCAAGGCUAAAUAUAAUAUACGAUCGAUAGUGAACUAGUACAGCGAUGGAAAGGUGAAAAGAACCCCGGGAGGGGAGUGAAAUAGAUCCUGAAACUCUGUGCCUACAAGGAGUCGGAGCCGGCUUGUCCGGUGACGGCGUGCUUUUUGUAGAACGAUCCAGCGAGUUAAUUUUACAUGCAAGGUUAAGCCAGUUGGCGGAGCCACAGUGAAAGCGAGCCUGAAUAGGGCGAAUUAGUAUGUAGGAUUAGACCCGAAACCGGGUGACCUAACCAUGAGCAGGCUGAAGCUUCUGUAACAGGGAGUGGAGGGCCGAACCGUAGUCCGCAGCAAAGGGCCCGGAUGACUUGUGGUUAGCGGUGAAAUGCCAAUCGAACUCGGAGAUAGCUGGUUCUCCUCGAAACAGUUUUAGGACUGGCGUCGUGUAAUUCGCACAUGGGGGUAGAGCUCUGUAAAGGACUGAGGGGAGCAAUCCUACUCACCCUUAACAAACUACGAAUACCAUGUGUUUUAUCACGGCAGUUAGAACGGCGGAGCUAAGUUCGUCGCUCGAAAGGGAAACAGCCCAGACCAUCGUCUAAGGUCCCUAAAUUUACACUAAGUGGGAAACAAGGUGAGAUUUCUUAAACAGCUAGGAUGUUGGCUUAGAAGCAGCCAUUCAUUUAAAGAGUGCGUAACAGCUCACUAGUCAAGAGAUCUUGCGUGGAAAAUGUAACGGGGCUAAGUGUAAUACCGAAGACAUGGAUGCGAGUAUAGGACAAAAUUUAUGGAUUAUCGAUGCUCAAUAUCUUUCAAAUAGUCGAUUUUUGGCGAAUUUAUUUCGCAAAAAUUGAUUCACCUGAGGGAAAAGAAUAGUCCGACAAAAUGCUUGUCAUUUUGCCGGCACGAUAAGAAAAAACCGUAGGUUUUGUCUUAUACUCGCGUGGUAGAGGAGCGUUCCUAUCUGCAGUGAAGCUGGACUGGAAAGUACAGUGGAGCGUUAGGAAGUGAGAAUGCUGGAAUGAGUAACCAUAAGAUAGGUGAGAAUCCUGUCGGCCGUAAGAGCAAGGUUUCCUGAGCCAUGGUAAUCAUCUCAGGGUUAGUCGGGCCUAAGCCGAGGCGCAUAGCGUAGGCGAUGGACAUCAGGUUAAUAUUCCUGAACCGGCGUAGUUUGCACACUGUUCACGGUGAGAUAUUCGAAGCGGAUUCAUGGUAUGUAUCCGUCCAACCGAGCCGGAAGGCAAAGGGAGUGAAAGUUACUUUUCGGAGUGACGAUUUUGGAAAAGGCACUGGCUAGAAAAGCAGAUGUGCGCAGAGACUAUGUCCGCCCGUACCGCAAACCAACACAGGUGCUCGAGUCGAGUAGACUCAGGCUUACGAGAGAACCUUCGCUAAGGAACUCGGCAAUACAGCGACCGUAACUUCGGGAUAAGGUCUGCCCCCACUUCGGUGGAUAUAAAGCCGCGUACACUCAGCGAGGAAUAACGGUUAAACGGUGCAAGUGUGAUGACUUGCACGUGAGUACGCGCCAGUUUGCCUUCGGGUGAAUUGUCGUCGAAAAAUCCUUUUUAGAUAACCAAUAUUUUUUACUGAGAUAGACUAAUCAACAGAUUAGGCUUUUUGUACGUGAGUCCUUCGUAUCUAACGAUGUGGGGGCCGCAGCAAAAGAGCCCACGGAACUGUUUACCAAAAACACAGGUCUCUGCGAACACGAAAGUGGAUGUAUAGGGGCUGACUCCUGCCCAGUGCUGGAAGGUUAAGGGGAGCGAUGAGAGUUGCGAACUGAAGCCCCAGUGAACGGCGGCGGUAACUAUAACCGUCCUAAGGUAGCGAAAUUCCUUGUCAGGUAAGUUCUGACCCGCACGAAUGGAGUAAUCAUGUGGGCACUGUCUCAGCGAAGGACUCGGUGAAAGUGCAUUGGCGGUAAAGAUGCCGUCUGUCCAUACCAGGACGAGAAGACCCCAUGGAGCUUUACUACAGUUUUACAUUGAUCCGGGUUACAACAUGUGUAGCAUAGUUGGGAGGCUUUGAAGCAGAUACGCCAGUAUUUGUGGAGCCACAGGUGAAAUACCAACCUUGUUGUGAUUUUGAUCUUACUUUUGCCGUUAUCCGGCAAGAGGACCGUGUAUGAUGGGUAGUUUAACUGGGGCGGUUGCCUCCUAAAGAGUAGCGGAGGCGUUCAAAGGUUGGCUAACUUCGGAUGGAAAUCGAAGUGAUAGUGUAUGCGCACAAGCCAGCUUGACUGUGAGGAUGACACUCCAAUCAGAGACGAAAGUCGGAGCAAGUGACCCGCUGUACGUAACAUUUGUUACAUGAAUGUGGGAUCGACAGCGCACACGGAUAAAAGUUACCCUGGGGAUAACAGGCUUAUAGCGCCCAAUAGUUCACAUAGACGGCGCUGUUUGGCACCUCGAUGUCGGCUCAUCACAUCCUGGAGGGGGAGCACCUUCCAAGGGUUCGGCUGUUCGCCGAUUAAAGUGGUACGCGAGCUGGGUUCAGAACGUCGUGAGACAGUUCGGUUUAUAUCCGGUAUGGACGUUAGGAAAUUUGAGAGGAUCUACCCUUAGUACGAGAGGACCGGGGCGGACGUACCUCUGGUGUAUCGAUUGUGGCCACCUGCUGCAUUGUCGAGUAGCUAUGUACGGAUUAGAUAAGCGCUGAAAGCAUAUUAAGCGCGAAACUAACCUCAAGAUUAGAUUUCCCUAUGAGGACACAGAGAGACGAUCUGUUUGAUAGGUGCAAGGUGGAAGUGUGGCAACACAUGGAGCCGAAGCAUACUAAUAGUCCCAUUGCCUUUUUAUG
rnacentral:rRNA from 1 species